GACGUAGGGCGCGAGCGUUGUCCGGAUUUAUUGGGCGUAAAGGGCUCGUAGGCGGUUUGUCGCGUCGGGAGUGAAAACGCGGGGCUUAACCCCGUGCCUGCUUCCGAUACGGGCAGACUAGAGGUAUGCAGGGGAGAACGGAAUUCCUGGUGUAGCGGUGAAAUGCGCAGAUAUCAGGAGGAACACCGGUGGCGAAGGCGGUCUCUGGGCAUUACCUGACGCUGAGGAGCGAAAGUGUGGGGAGCGAACAGG
rnacentral:rRNA from 1 species